GUCAGAGGAUACCUCGACCACCUAUUGAGAUGGACAUAUAGUCUCCCUAACUGACUCCCACAGAGACAGAUAUGUAGAGACUUUGAUGGAAACCUGGAGUGGCUGAGGUUCGGAACUUCGGGAGCAGUGGAGAGGUCAGGGGGAGCGUCCCAGGAACGGCACAGGGGAGGUUAGAGUUUGGCAGAGUGCCAAACUCCCGGGAACGUGAUCUGGAUCCAAUUCCUGGUCCAAUAAGCUGGACCCGGAAUAGGAGCCAAUAUUCCGCUAAGCUCUUCCCAUUCCCAAACCCCUCUGGAAUACUUCAUAACAUUCCAAGAUUCUUUCCAACAUCCUUCAACAGUGUGCAGUGUGUAUAUGCUGUGGCGUUCCCUCAGGCAUACCGUAGUAGACAGGUGGGUAGGGUCUAGAGGAGGUAAGCAUGCCAGCAAGGCAAUGUACAGGACCCUGUGUGUGUGUAUGUGUGUGUGUGUGUGUGUGUUUGUGUGUCACUGUCUGUCUAUGUAUGUGAGUAAGCCCUCUUGCACUGUC
ensembl:lncRNA